rnacentral:rRNA from 1 species
CAUGUCUUUACGAUUAUAAUUUAAGGUCUGGUCUGCUCAAUGAGUAUUUAAAUUGCCGCAGUAUUUUGACUGUGCGAAGGUAGCAUAAUAAUUAGUUUCUUGAUUAGAAGCUGGAAUGAAUGAUUGGACGAGAAAAUUUCUGUCUUUUUAUAAAUUAUUUUUUAAUUUUAUUUUUAAGUUAAAAAGCUUAAAUUAUUAUUAAAGACGAGAAGACCCUAUAGAGUUUGAUAAUAAAAUUUUAUUUAUUAUUAGAAUUGAUUUUAAAGUUUUACUAUUUAGUUGGGGUGACUGAGAGAUUUAAAUAAUUCUUUUUGAAAAAAUUGAUUAUAAUUAAUUUUUUUAUCUAUAUUUUUAAAUUAAAUAUUAAUUACCUUAGGGAUAACAGCGUUAUUUUUUUUAAUAGUUCAUAUUGAAAGGAAAGUUUGCGACCUCGAUGUUGGAUUAAAAUUAAUUUUUGGUGCAGUAGCUUAAAAAUUAGGUCUGUUCGACCUUUAAAAUU